GCAACAGGCGCCUGUGCGCUCAACACUUUGAAGUGAAGCAGUUCGCAAAUAGGCAGAGGACGCGACUCAGGCAAUCUGCGUGCCCCACCGUCCCAAGGCCAUGCCGUAGAGCACUGGAUUCAGAUUCCCAUCUAUGGCCGAGUAGCCCCACAACACCUGCCCCACGGAGUCCGACGCCCUCUGGCUCCUCCGUGGGAGCACCACAUGCUGGCCCCUCGAGAGAGUCCCAUCCAUGGCCAAGUAGCCCCACAACACCUGCCCCACGGAGUCCGACGCCCUCUGGCUCCUCCGUGGGAGCACCACAUGCUGGC